rnacentral:rRNA from 1 species
AGAGCGAACGCUGGCGGCAGGCCUAACACAUGCAAGUCGAACGGACCCUUCGGGGUUAGUGGCGGACGGGUGAGUAACACGUGGGAACGUGCCUUUGGUUCGGAAUAGCUCCUGGAAACGGGUGGUAAUGCCGAAUGUGCCCUUCGGGGGAAAGAUUUAUCGCCAUUAGAGCGGCCCGCGUCUGAUUAGCUAGUUGGUGAGGUAAUGGCUCACCAAGGCGACGAUCAGUAGCUGGUCUGAGGGAUGACCAGCCACAUUGGGACUGAGACACGGCCCAAACUCCUACGGGAGGCAGCAGUGGGGAAUCUUGCGCAAUGGGCGAAAGCCUGACGCAGCCAUGCCGCGUGAAUGAUGAAGGUCUUAGGAUUGUAAAAUUCUUUCACCGGGGACGAUAAUGACGGUACCCGGAGAAGAAGCCCCGGCUAACUUCGUGCCAGCAGCCGC